rnacentral:rRNA from 1 species
UACGGAGGAGGCAAGCGUUAUCCGGAAUUACUGGGCGUAAAGCGUGCGUAGGUGGUUCGUUAAGUCUGAUGUGAAAGCCCUGGGCUCAACCUGGGAAUGGCAUUGGAUACUGGCGGGCUAGAGUGCGGUAGAGGGCAGUGGAAUUCCCGGUGUAGCAGUGAAAUGCGUAGAGGUCGGGAGGAACAUCUGUGGCGAAGGCGACUGCCUGGACCAGCACUGACACUGAGGCACGAAAGCGUGGGGAGCAAACAGG